rnacentral:rRNA from 1 species
AGUUUGAUCAUGGCUCAGAUUGAACGCUGGCGGCAUGCCUUACACAUGCAAGUCGGAACGGUAACGGGCCUUCGGGUGCCGACGAGUGGCGAACGGGUGAGUAAUGCAUCGGAACGUACCUUCAGUGGGGGAUAACGUAGCGAAAGUUACGCUAAUACCGCAUAUUCUGUGAGCAGGAAAGCAGGGGAUCGCAAGACCUUGCGCUGAUUGAGCGGCCGAUGUCAGAUUAGCUAGUUGGUGAGGUAAAGGCUCACCAAGGCGACGAUCUGUAGCGGGGUCUGAGAGGAUGAUCCGCCACACUGGAACUGAGACAUGGUCCAGACUCCUACGGGAGGCAGCAGUGGGGAAUUUUGGACAAUGGGGGCAACCCUGAUCCAGCCAUGCCGCGUGAGUGAAGAAGGCCUUCGGGGUUGUAAAGCUCUUUCGGCCGGGAAGAAAUCGCCAUGGGUUAAUACCCUGUGCGGAUGACGGUACCGGCAUAAGAAGCACCGGCUAACUACGUG